CCUACGGGAGGCUUCAGUGGGGAAUAUUGGACAAUGGGCGAAAGCCUGAUCCAGCCAUGCCGCGUGUGUGAAGAAGGCCUUCGGGUUGUAAAGCACUUUCAGUGGGGAAGAAAGCCUUGGGGCUAAUACCCUCGAGGAAGGACAUCACCCACAGAAGAAGCACCGGCUAACUCCGUGCCAGCAGCCGCGGUAAUACGGAGGGUGCGAGCGUUAAUCGGAAUUACUGGGCGUAAAGCGCGCGUAGGCGGUCUGAUAAGCCGGUUGUGAAAGCCCCGGGCUCAACCUGGGAACGGCAUCCGGAACUGUCAGGCUAGAGUGCAGGAGAGGAAGGUAGAAUUCCCGGUGUAGCGGUGAAAUGCGUAGAGAUCGGGAGGAAUACCAGUGGCGAAGGCGGCCUUCUGGACUGACACUGACGCUGAGGUGUGAAAGCGUGGGUAGCAAACAGGAUUAGCUACCCUUGUAGUC
rnacentral:rRNA from 1 species